rnacentral:rRNA from 1 species
UGGGUAGGGGAGCGUUCUGUAAGCCUGCGAAGGUGGCCUGUGAGGGUUGCUGGAGGUAUCAGAAGUGCGAAUGCUGACAUAAGUAACGAUAAAGCGGGUGAAAAGCCCGCUCGCCGGAAGACCAAGGGUUCCUGUCCAACGUUAAUCGGGGCAGGGUGAGUCGACCCCUAAGGCGAGGCCGAAAGGCGUAGUCGAUGGGAAACGGGUUAAUAUUCCCGUACUUGGUGUUACUGCGAAGGGGGGACGGAGAAGGCUAUGUUGGCCGGGCGACGGUUGUCCCGGUUUAAGCGUGUAGGUGUGUGUUCCAGGUAAAUCCGGUUCACUUUAACACUGAGGCGUGAUGACGAGGC